rnacentral:rRNA from 1 species
UCCUGGCGCGUGCUUACACAUGCAAGUCGAACGGUGAAGCCAAGCUUGCUUGGUGGAUCAGUGGCGAACGGGUGAGUAACACGUGAGCAACCUGCCCUGGACUCUGGGAUAAGCGCUGGAAACGGCGUCUAAUACUGGAUAUGAGACGUGAUCGCAUGGUCGUGUUUGGAAAGAUUUUUCGGUCUGGGAUGGGCUCGCGGCCUAUCAGCUUGUUGGUGAGGUAAUGGCUCACCAAGGCGUCGACGGGUAGCCGGCCUGAGAGGGUGACCGGCCACACUGGGACUGAGACACGGCCCAGACUCCUACGGGAGGCAGCAGUGGGGAAUAUUGCACAAUGGGCGAAAGCCUGAUGCAGCAACGCCGCGUGAGGGAUGACGGCCUUCGGGUUGUAAACCUCUUUUAGCAGGGAAGAAGCGAGAGUGACGGUACCUGCAGAAAAAGCGCCGGCUAACUACGUGCCAGCAGCCGCGGUAAUACGUAGGGCGCAAGCGUUAUCCGGAAUUAUUGGGCGUAAAGAGCUCGUAGGCGGUUUGUCGCGUCUGCUGUGAAAUCCCGAGGCUCAACCUCGGGCCUGCAGUGGGUACGGGCAGACUAGAGUGCGGUAGGGGAGAUUGGAAUUCCUGGUGUAGCGGUGGAAUGCGCAGAUAUCAGGAGGAACACCGAUGGCGAAGGCAGAUCUCUGGGCCGUAACUGACGCUGAGGAGCGAAAGGGUGGGGAGCAAACAGGCUUAGAUACCCUGGUAGUCCACCCCGUAAACGUUGGGAACUAGUUGUGGGGACCAUUCCACGGUUUCCGUGACGCAGCUAACGCAUUAAGUUCCCCGCCUGGGGAGUACGGCCGCAAGGCUAAAACUCAAAGGAAUUGACGGGGACCCGCACAAGCGGCGGAGCAUGCGGAUUAAUUCGAUGCAACGCGAAGAACCUUACCAAGGCUUGACAUACACCAGAACGGGCCAGAAAUGGUCAACUCUUUGGACACUGGUGAACAGGUGGUGCAUGG